rfam:Hordeum vulgare subsp. vulgare, WGS project CAJW01000000 data, contig: morex_contig_1576539
GUGGAUAUGAGGAUCCUUUCCCCAAAUGAUCGACUAUGGUUAAACUGUGCGCACAUGUAGCCCUUAAUCAGAGGGUUCCAAGCCAGAAAUCUGAUCCGU